rnacentral:rRNA from 1 species
AUUGAACGCUGGCGGCAGGCCUAACACAUGCAAGUCGAGCGGAGCGGCGGACGGGUGAGUAAUGCCUAGGAAUCUGCCUGGUAGUGGGGGAUAACGUCCGGAAACGGGCGCUAAUACCGCAUACUAUCAGAUGAGCCUAGGUCGGAUUAGCUAGUUGGUGGGGUAAAGGCCUACCAAGGCGACGAUCCCUAGCUGGUCUGAGAGGAUGAUCAGCCACACUGGAACUGAGACACGGUCCAGACUCCUACGGGAGGCAGCAGUGGGGAAUAUUGCACAAUGGGCGCAAGCCUGAUGCAGCCAUGCCGCGUGUAUGAAGAAGGCCUUCGGGUUGUAAAGCACUUUCAGUUGGGAGGCGUUACCAACAGAAUAAGCACCGGCUAACUCCGUGCCAGCAGCCGCGGUAAUUC